ACUGUUUGUUCAAAGUAAAUGUUAAUUCCCUUAGAUUCGAUUUUAGUAAGUAACUGAAUUCUUUCUUUCUUUUCAAUCUGAAACAGUUGAGCAUGCUGUAGAGUCGGGAGAAAGACCAGAUGAAGACCUGGAGGCUGGAGAGACACAGAGGAGUGAAACUGAAGAGGUGAAACGGAGUGAAAAUGUUUCUGAACAAGAGAAAAAUAUGGUUAACAACCAGAAACCUGAAGUUACUGCUGCAACAGAAGAAGAAAAAGAUGAAGAAAAACAGAUUGAUGUAGUUGUAGACACUGAACGAGGUACAUCUCCAAUGCAUGAUGAUGAAAAAAACAAGAUUGAAUCUGUUUUGAACACUGAUAAGAAGACACAUCUAAUGACUGAUGCUGAAGAAGGGACUGUUUCUGUUCUGGGCGGCAUUGUUUCAGUUCUGUGACACACACAGGAAAUGGUGUUAUGGGUGUGUUGUUCAGGUCUAUGAUGCCACUUCCUGCGUAAUUGCCUGUUUGCAGACUCAUAAUGGAUUUGCAAUGAUUUACACUGAAUUCUGAAAGUAGAUAUAAUACUUUAUAAUAGAUAUAAUAUGUAUUGUGCGUGCAUGAAUCUUUUUGUCUGAUUGUAUGUAUUGUGGGAUUGUGUAUAUGAUUGUUUUUCAGUGUGUCUUUGGUAAAUCGAAAGCGAGAUCAGUGUUGUGGUUUAGGCUUCACUGUGAUGAAAUUAGUUGCGUUGGGAGGGGGUGAAAUUCUGAGAGUACGAGAGUCUCAUGCGUGUGAAAGGUUGUGAUGUGGGAGUAAAGCAGAGUUCAGAUUCUCUACAGAUGCUCAGAAAUGAAGUGUUCCUCCAGACUCCUGUGUGGGCUCCUCGUGUCAUGCCUUUGUUUCAGAGUUUCAAGUGAGGAUCUGUCUGUGAUUCAGAGUCCAUCCAGCAUCACUGUGGAUGAAGGACAAUCUGCUCGAAUCAGCUGCUGCUGGAAUGAAACCGUAGAGAAUGCUAAAGUUGCUUGGUACAUCAAUGAGGCAAAACAAAAGCAGGAUCCCCAAGAACAUACAACACAGAACUGUACAGCUCUGAACCUCACAAACAUACUUAAAAAUGCUUCAGGUCAUUAUGUUUGUGAAGUGACUCAAGACAUACCAAUCCUGCUUCAGAAGAAUGGUAGUGGAACAGUCAUAACUGUCAAUGACAUACUAAUAGAAACGACAACAACUGGUAAGUUAUUAAAAGGCUAAAAGACCAGUCAUAACUGUCAAUGACAUACUAGAUAAAAAUAGUGACUGGUAAGAUUUUUCCUCCACAAUAUGAUUUUUUACAAAUCCCAAUACAGUUAAAAAUAUUAAAAUACCACCAUCAUUAAAAUCAUACAAUAAUAAUUUCAGUUCAACUAAUUCAGUCUAUUUCUUCUGUUGAAGUUUCUGACCCGUCUCAACCUACUCAGACUGCACAUUUAGCAUCAGACGCUUCAACAUUAUUUCUGCCUUUGUCUCUGGCUGCUGCCAUCGGCCUGCUGACCCUCUGCUUGGUCUUCAGUGUGUUCAAGAUGAGAAACUCCUGUAAAAAAUCAGAGCGAGUGGUCAUUCACCAGACACCCAACAGUGAAGGUGAGGAGCAUGAGCACAUGGAGGAAGAGAACGGUAGCACAGGCUCCUCUCGAGGAUCCCUCCAAUGGUAUCAAGUGCCUGUUUACUGGUCUUACUUUGAUCUACAGAAGGGUGAAGACCAGUGACAACCAGAAAGUAAAGACAAACGGGAUGUUCAGUUCAUUGGAUUGCAUUUAGCAUUCUGUCUCUUCUUUCAUGAGAGCAUUUUUGUAAAUAGAGGAAGCGAUUUUAAUCUUCAGAUGCUAGAACCCCUCAGUUGAAGCUCUUGAUUGUGGUAGCAGAUGUUCAUCUCUUUGUUUGUAUAGAAGCUCUUUUGAUUGUUUUAUUCUUAUUUAAAAAAAAAAAUCUUUUUUUUUUUAUUAGACUUUCUUUAAUUAAAGUGAAGAUGUGUCAUACUUACACGCAUGAAAAACUACUUGUAUUUCAUGCCCAGACAGAUGCAAAA